rnacentral:SRP_RNA from 1 species
GCCGGGCGUGGUGGCGCACGCCUGUAAUCCCAGCUACUUGGGAGGCUGAGACAGGAGAAUUGCUUGAAUCUGGGAGGUGGAGGUGGCAGUUGAGUGGAGAUCACGCCACUGCACUCCAGCCUGGGCAACACAGCGAGACUCUGUCUAAA